rnacentral:rRNA from 1 species
ACCCGCUGAACUUAAGCAUAUCAAUAAGCGGAGGAAAGGAAACCAACAGGGAUUGCCUUAGUAACUGCGAGUGAAGCGGCAAAAGCUCAAAUUUGAAAUCUGGUGCCUUCGGCGCCCGAGUUGUAAUUUGGAGAGACAUCUUCGGAGUAGACGCCGUCCUAAGUUCCUUGGAACAGGACGUCACAGAGGGUGAGAAUCCCGUGCCUGGAUGGCUGUUCUACUUCAUGUGAAGUGUCUUCGACGAGUCGAGUUGUUUGGGAAUGCAGCUCAAAAUGGGAGGUAAAUUUCUUCUAAAGCUAAAUAUUGGCGAGAGACCGAUAGCGCACAAGUAGAGUGAUCGAAAGAUGAAAAGCACUUUGAAAAGAGAGUUAAAAAGUACGUGAAAUUGUUGAAAGGGAAGCGCUUGAGACCAGACUCGACCAGUGGUGAUCAGCGGUGCUUCUGUGCCGUGCGCUUGCCAUUGGUUGGGCCAGCAUCGGUUUGGACGGCGGGAUAAAGACCUAAGGAAUGUGGCUCCCUCCGGGGAGUGUUAUAGCCUUGAGUGCAAUGCCGCCAGUCUGGACCGAGGACCGCGCUUCGGCUAGGAUGCUGGCGUAAUGGUCUU